AUUGAACGCUGGCGGCAGGCCUAACACAUGCAAGUCGAGCGAGCGGCGGACGGGGGAGUAAUGUCUGGGAAACUGCCUGAUGGCGGGGGAUAACUACUGGAAACGGUAGCUAAUACCGCAUACCAUCAGAUGUGCCCAGAUGGGAUUAGCUAGUAGGUGGGGUAACGGCUCACCUAGGCGACGAUCCCUAGCUGGUCUGAGAGGAUGACCAGCCACACUGGAUCGGAGACACGGUCCAGACUCCUACGGGAGGGAGCAGUGGGGAAGAUUGCACAGUGGGCGCAAGCCUGAUGCAGCCAGGCCGCGUGUGGGAAGAAGGCCUUCGGGUUGUAGAGCACUUUCGGCGGGGAGGCGUUACCCGCAGAAGAAGCACCGGCUAACUCCGUGCCAGCAGCCGCGGUAAUUC
rnacentral:rRNA from 1 species